rnacentral:lncRNA from 1 species
GAGAAUUCCAUCAGUGGACAGCUCUAUUUUUAAGGCUCUGGCUUUGUUUUCUCUUUCCUGAGAGGCAGUCCCUGCAGCAGGCUUGAGCCUCUCUCACUGACAGCCUGCCUCGCAUAAUGUUAAGCAGGCAUCGGACACUUGCUGGAAGGCAGGGAAUUGCAAUGAAAGAGCACGGAGGUGAGAAGCUGUGCUCCUUGGGGUGAAGGCAGCUUCUGUGCUCCUGGGAUCUACUGUUAAGCCAGGGUGACGCCAGCUUGCAUGCUACCGGAGGGAUGAGUCUUUGGCUCAGCAGAAUGGGCCUAGGUGGAGCUUGAAAUUAAUGAAGAGAUGCUGCUUCCAGCUUUUUGAGCAAGAAGAAGUUUGGCCUCCAGUUAUUACACCUUGAGAUCAACCUUCAGGCCUCCACUUAAGCGAGUUCUGACGUCAGUGAAUACUUCUGCAGCAUGGAAGUGCCAGGACCCUCGUUGGCCCCUGAUGGCCAAAUAGCCUCACUCUCCAUUAGAAGAGAAAGCCUCACUCUCCAUUAGAAGGCCAGGAGAGCGAAAUCAGGGAUUGCUU